AACGAACGCUGGCGGCAGGCCUAACACAUGCAAGUCGAGCGAGCAUUUCGGUGCUAGCGGCGGACGGGUGAGUAACGCGUGGGAACGUGCCCUUUUCUGCGGAAUAGUCCUGGGAAACUGGGGGUAAUACCGCAUACGCCCUUUUGGGGAAAGAUUUAUCGGAGAAGGAUCGGCCCGCGUUGGUUUAGGUAGUUGGUGGGGUAAUGGCCCACCAAGCCGACGAUCCAUAGCUGGUUUGAGAGGAUGAUCAGCCACACUGGGACUGAGACACGGCCCAGACUCCUACGGGAGGCAGCAGUGGGGAAUCUUAGACAAUGGGGGCAACCCUGAUCUAGCCAUGCCGCGUGAGUGAUGAAGGCCUUAGGGUUGUAAAGCUCUUUCAGCUGGGAAGAUAAUGACGGUACCAGCAGAAGAAGCCCCGGCUAACUCCGUG
rnacentral:rRNA from 1 species